UGGGGAAUUUUGGACAAUGGGCGAAAGCCUGAUCCAGCAAUGCCGCGUGUGUGAAGAAGGCCUUCGGGUUGUAAAGCACUUUUGUCCGGAAAGAAAUCCUUGGCUCUAAUACAGUCGGGGGAUGACGGUACCGGAAGAAUAAGCACCGGCUAACUACGUGCCAGCAGCCGCGGUAAUACGUAGGGUGCAAGCGUUAAUCGGAAUUACUGGGCGUAAAGCGUGCGCAGGCGGUUUGCUAAGACCGAUGUGAAAUCCCCGGGCUCAACCUGGGAACUGCAUUGGUGACUGGCAGGCUAGAGUAUGGCAGAGGGGGGUAGAAUUCCACGUGUAGCAGUGAAAUGCGUAGAGAUGUGGAGGAAUACCGAUGGCGAAGGCAGCCCCCUGGGCCAAUACUGACGCUCAUGCACGAAAGCGUGGGGAGCAAACAGGAUUAGAUACCCUGGUAGUCCACGCCCUAAACGAUGUCAACUAGGUUGUUGGGGACUUCAUUUCCUUAGUAACGUACUAACGCGUGAAGUUGACCGCCUGGGGAGUACGGUCGCAAGAUUAAAACUUAAAUGAAUUGAC
rnacentral:rRNA from 1 species